rnacentral:lncRNA from 1 species
CAUGCCAAUUUAAUUUGUGCUUAUAAAAGACCUACGCAUAUUUUAUGUAGGUUAAACAAGAAAAGGAGCAUCUACUUUGGCCUAUUCCCUAAAAUCAUGCUAACAAUUCAUAUGCCUAUCUAGUGAUGGAAUUGUAAGGCUUGAAUAUAUCUUUUGAUUGAACAAAUGUGAACCAAGACUGUAGGUUUUGAUGCUCUAAUUCAUGACUGGUGCUAGACCUAUCUUCAAAGGGCUAAUGGUUGGUUCAGAAAUUGAGAGGCCAUAGAUAAAAAUGUGAAGUAUGGAAUAGAAAGUUUGCCAGUAUUAUUUGAGUCGAUGAAACGUCUGCUCAACUCCAUUACAUUGUUGGAUAAUAAGGAGGAGAAAAUGUGAGGACCUAAACUGAUCCAAUCGAGGUCAGCCUCGAAAAAGGAUGAGUAAGCAGAGGGAAAAGACUCCAAUUGCAUCUUGAACUUCCCCACCUUCUCAUGAAUCCACCGUUGGAUUAUCCACUGGUUGCUUCAAGAUUUAUGCAAGCAAUGAAUGAUGGAGUAUGGAGCUCUUCGGGAUCCGUGCCAUGGGUGAUCCAAUAGUGGAUACACACGAAGGAAGGUGAAUCCUUCUUUCGCACAAAAGAUACAAUCUCGAUCCCUCUCAUUUUCUUUUUCUUUUCCAUAUAGACUGCCUUCAUGCUCUCUAUCUCUCUCCCACCCCUUUGCACUCUCUUUCAAUCCUCUCUUUCUUUAUUCCUUUGAAUAUCAAAGCACCAGGACCCCCAUCUCGGCUCUCUUAUUCUUUUGGGUAAGCUCCACUGCACCUCUUUUUCUCUCUCUUCCUCUCUUUCUUUUUCCUCACACUAUUUCAACCAUAUGCCUCUUCUUUCUUCCUCCUCCUCCUAACUCUCUUCAAUGCUCUUUCUUUAGUAAUUUCUCUAACUCAAACUUUCUUUGCUUCUUUAUCAUGGUUUUCCUCAUUAUUUUAUUUAUACGAUGGGAAUUGCAUAGAAGAAGAACAAUUUAUUAGACAAGGAGAAGUCGAGCUUAAGGCCUCAUCUUCUUGCACACCCUCAUCUUUAUGCCUACUUCUUGAUUAACCCAAAAGCUUUUGCUUGCUUCUCGCUAUCACCCUGCAAUACUUCCUCCCUCUCCUCCUCUUGUAGAUCAUAUAGCAUAUACUUCCUCCCUCUCCUCCUCUUGUAGAUCAUAUAGCAUUGAAGUUGUAUCAGAAAUGAAUUCAGCCCCGUUUAUCUUCGCCUCUAAAUUGCCCCAUGCCUCUAUUGUGCUACCUUGUUGUUUGAUGUAUCUUUCCAUUCCUUUUCGAUUUCAUCCCCUUGAUGUCGCCACCAGUUGAGCAUCUAUGAUGGCUCUUGUACCAAUCAAUCCUCUUCUUGCCUCAAUAGAUAUAUUAACAGUCUUGAAUAUCCUUUCCUUGCUCAAAUCGAACUUCUGUCCCUAGUUUAGUGGGUUGCCACUCUGAUCUGAACGGAUUUGGGAUGUCAAGCACCAUCACUUGGCUAGUCUUAUCCCUUCUCCCUCUAUCACAUUUCAUUUCCUCUAUAAUCUAGUGAUUUAAUUUAUGUAGGGGUGCAAUCAUCUGAACAAGGAGCGAUCUAGCAUGGGUUCCACAACCAAAUCUUUUAAUUAUGGUAAAAGGCCAUUUAGUUUAGGUGUUAAUUUAGGAAAAACCUGGAGAUUACGAUCAAUUUUGUGGAUUUUGAUGAGGAAAAUUAGUUUCUCCAUUUAUGUUAAAUAUUAAUAUCAAAUUGAUUUGAAUAUGUUAGGGGCAUACAUGGACUAGUAGGCACCUUGCUUGGGUUUUAUCACCGGUAGUGGUGAGAAUCUCCUUUACAUGCUUACUUUGUAUAUUAUUUCUGAUAUAUGUAUAUGUGAUUCCAACGUGCACAUGUAUGUUAUAGAAAUAAAUAAAUUUGAAAUUACACAUAAAAAUUAGCAAUAUUUUGAAUUAUAUAAU